GAUGAACGCUGGCGGUAUGCUUAACACAUGCAAGUCGAACGGACUCUUCGGAGUUAUUGGCGGACGGGUGAGUAACGCGUGAUAAUCUGGCUUUGGUUUCGGGACAACCACUGGAAACGGUGGCUAAUACCGGAUGUGCCGAGAGGUAAAAGAGAAAUUGCCUGAAGAUGAGCUCGCGUCUGAUUAGCUAGUUGGUGAGGUAAAGGCUCACCAAGGAAGCGAUCAGUAGCUGGUCUGAGAGGAUGACCAGCCACACUGGGACUGAGACACGGCCCAGAAAAAUAGGGGAGGAAGGAGUGGGGAAUUAUACGAAAAGGGAGAAAGACUGACGGAGAAAUACCGAGUGAGGGAAGAAGGAUCUUGGGUUGUAAACAUGUUUUCGAAGGGAAGAAAAAAAUGACGGUAAAUAAGGAAUAAGCAUCGGCUAACUACGUG
rnacentral:rRNA from 1 species